rnacentral:rRNA from 1 species
AUGACCCCACAUUUUGCCCUAUUGUUUUACUUUCUAAAAGAAAGUUCUGCUCCAGUCUUGAAAAAGAUGUGGAAAGCUAAGAGAGGUGGUGAUCAUCUCACUAGAAGCUUUCCUAAGAGUAGAAAAGCUUCCAAGAAUGAAUCAUUGGUCUCAGGUCACUUCCUUGGGGACUGUGAUCAAGGUGUUCGGUCCAGGCUCAGUGAUGGGCUAAUAUCAUAUUUGUCUAGAAGUGUCGCCUCUAUUACUUUGUGCAAUGGAGACACAGUCUUAUUUUCAUGCUCGGGCAUAGCUAUGGAACGCCAGGGGCGCCACCUUACAAGGUUUCUGACUUCUGCAAGUUUGGUUAGAGCUCUCAAUGGUACGAAUAAAGACCAUGAUGACUUGAAGAUUGAAGUGCGCCAUGAAGGCAAUGAAGUUUAUAUGGGGUGGAUGGCUGAAUUUGAUUUAGAUCGCAACUUUGCUGUUGUCAAUGUCCAUGCGUUCCUUGAAAAUGUUCAGGUUGGAUCUUUCCAACCUGCACUAGAAAUUCUGCCCCAUGGUGAGCUAUUAAUAGUUAUAGGGCGUGGUGUCUCUGGUGAAAUAAUGACCAAGAAUGUGGAAUUUAAUGGUGAUUCAAGGGUAUCCGAGGAUGAUGAAGAUCUUGAUUGUAAAAUCUCAGAGGCUUGGGACGGUGGGCCACUUCUUUCUGUUGAUGGGAAGGUUGUUGGCAUGAACCUUUUUCUGACUACUAGAAAAGCCGUUUUCCUACCAUGGGGCACAAUUCUCAAGCAUCUGGAGCAUUACUGGACAUCUCAGCAAAAGAAGACUGGUCUUGCACGGUUUGCAGUAAGACCCACAUGUGUGAAAUCUAACAGCCAUCCAGAAGUACAUGGAGAUUUACUCAACCAGGAGCAGUUAGAUCUAGACUCCAUGGGUUACCCUAAGUUACCAUCCUCCAUGUUAGGAGCUGGCAUGAUUUUAGUUGAUACUUUUGAAGAGACUUUUGGCGACAUACAUGGUGAAGGUGUCUGGAGAAAAUUUAGUAAAAGUGCUUCUAACAUAAAUUGCAAUGUUGUCGCACUGGCUUCAUUUAAUGGAGAAAAGAGGUAUUUUGCAUGCACGGGUUUUUUUAUUGAAUGGAAUGGAUCUACGGUAAUUUUGACAUCAGCAAGCUUGGUUAGAAAUUCUGGUGAUGAGAACAAGAUUGUUGAAAACUUGAGGAUUGAAGUGUUGCUUAACAACCAAUAUAGAGAAGGGACAUUACUACAUUAUAGUCUACAUUACAACGUUGCUCUAGUCAGUGUGAAGGAUUACCCUGCUCUUCGUCCAUCAAAUACUCUGCUUCGUUGGAAAAAGGAUUUUAAAGUAGUAGCUGUAGGGCGUUGCUUCAAAUCAGGCAUGUUAAUGGCUACUAGCGGGGAUAUGGUUUCCUGGACAGGCACACUCGAUCGCGAUUUCCUCGUAACUUCCACGUGUAAAAUCACUAAGGCUGGGAUUGGAGGCCCUCUUGUUAGUCUUGAUGGGGAUGUUAUUGGCAUGAACUUCUAUGAUAAGAGAAUAGGGACCCCUUUCCUGUUAUUGGUGGACAUUUACAAAAUUCUAGCAUCGUUUGAGACAAAAAGUGAACUUGGUGAAGUUGGCAAUGAUAGUGAUCCCUCUGGAGCGCUUUUCUGGAAAAUGGAUGAAGAUAACAAAACUAAGUUAAACAGGUGGCCUGUGCCCAUGCCUCGCUGGCGCAAUCCUGACUAUGUGGAUGAGGAUAAAUCUGAUGAUGAUGAUGAGGUCUUUGAUCACAAAUCUGGCCGCGCGCCGCCUAUGGACGGUUACUUCAAGGGAAAGAAACUCAUGCUCUUU